rnacentral:rRNA from 1 species
CCUACGGGUGGCAGCAGUGGGGAAUAUUGCACAAUGGGGGAAACCCUGAUGCAGCAACGCCGCGUGAGUGAAGAAGUAUUUCGGUAUGUAAAGCUCUAUCAGCAGGGAAGUAGAUGACGGUACCUGAGUAAGAAGCUCGGGCUAACUACGUGCCAGCAGCCGCGGUAAUACGUAGGGGGCAAGCGUUAUACGGAUUUACUGGGUGUAAAGGGAGCGUAGAGGGCUGCGCAAGUCUGAAGUGAAAGCCCGGGGCUCAACCCCGGGACUGCUUUGGAAACUGUGUAGCUAGAGUGCUCGAGAGGUAAGUGGAAUUCGUAGUGUAGCGGUGAAAUGCGUAGAUAUUAGGAGGAACACCGGUGGCGAAGGCGGCUUACUGGACUGUAACUGACGUUGAGGCUCGAAAGCGUGGGGAGCAAACAGGAUUAGAUACCCCAGUAGUC